rnacentral:rRNA from 1 species
CCUUCGGGCGCUGACGAGUGGCGGACGGGUGAGUAACGCGUAGGAAUCUGCCUUAUAGUGGGGGACAACGUGGGGAAACCCACGCUAAUACCGCAUACGCCCUACGGGGGAAAGGAGGGGAUCUUCGGACCUUUCGCUAUGAGAUGAGCCUGCGUUAGAUUAGCUAGUUGGUAGGGUAAAGGCCUACCAAGGCGACGAUCUAUAGCUGGUCUGAGAGGACGAUCAGCCACACUGGGACUGAGACACGGCCCAGACUCCUACGGGAGGCAGCAGUGGGGAAUAUUGGACAAUGGGCGAAAGCCUGAUCCAGCAAUACCGCGUGUGUGAAGAAGGCCUUAGGGUUGUAAAGCACUUUCAAUUGGGAGGAAAACCUGUCGGUCAAUACCCGGCAGCUUGACAUUACCUUUAGAAGAAGCACCGGCUAACUCCGUGCCAGCAGCCGCGGUAAUACGGAGGGUGCGAGCGUUAAUCGGAAUUACUGGGCGUAAAGCGUGCGUAGGCGGUUCGUUAAGUCAGAUGUGAAAGCCCUGGGCUCAACCUGGGAACUGCAUUUGAAACUGGCGGACUAGAGUUUAGUAGAGGGGAGUGGAAUUUCAGGUGCAGCGGUGAAAUGCGUAGAUAUCUGAAGGAACACCAGUGGCGAAGGCGACUCCCUGGACUAGAACUGACGCUGAGGUACGAAAGCGUGGGUAGCAAACAGGAUUAGAUACCCUGGUAGUCCACGCCGUAAACGAUGUCGACUAGCCGUUGGUCCUAUUUACAGGAUUAGUGGCGCAGCUAACGCAUUAAGUCGACCGCCUGGGGAGUACGGCGCAGAUUAAAACUCAAAUGAAUUGACGGGGCCCGCACAGCGGUGGAGCAUGUGGUUUAAUUCGAUGCACGCGAGACUUACUACCCUUGACAUCAGAGAUCUGUUAGAGAUAGUAGAGUGCUUCGGAGCUCUGAGAAAGUGCUGCAUGCUGUCGUCAGCUCGUUCUGGAUGUGGGUAGUCCGUACGAGCGCACCUGUCUUAGUGCAGCGGUAUGCGG